AUUAUUAGCCCUUGCCGUUAUAUUCUGUCUCUUGAAUUAAUUUAGC
rnacentral:rRNA from 1 species